CUCUGACAUGCUGUUAUAUCUCUGGUGUGUCUUUGCCCAUUCCUUAUAGAUUGUAAGCUUGUUUGAGAAGCGCCUUCUUAACUUCUUGACUCUGCUAUAUUCUGUAUGAUAAUUAUUUGUUGUUGUCAAAUAUUCCCAUCUUUUUAGUAAAGCAUUGUGGAAUACGUUCACGCUUUAUAAAAUCUAAUAGGAAUAAAAACAAACCUAAACUGUCACCUAAAGCUUGACAUCGCUGUGAUUGGUUCUCACAGCAAUCAUUCAUCAUGGAGACCU